rnacentral:sRNA from 1 species
ACCAAGUUGAUCAGGGGUCCUGGACGGAGAAGGGAAGAUAUAAAAUCCCUCUACUGCGUCCCCACCAACAUGACCCAGCUCUUCCUGGAGUCUGGCCACAAGAAGAGGACCACCCACCCUUGAGGGCAGUGAGGUCCGAAGGAUCAUCACUGACUAUGCCAAGAGAAACAACCUGGUGGAUGCAGACAACAGGAAUCUGGUGAAGUUGGAUCCCAUCUUAUGUGACUGUAUCUUAGA